UUAAGCGACUAAGCGUACACGGUGGAUGCCCUGGCAGUCAGAGGCGAUGAAGGACGUGCUAAUCUGCGAUAAGCGUCGGUGAGGUGAUAUGAACCGUUAUAACCGGCGAUUUCCGAAUGGGGAAACCCAGUGUGUUUCGACACACUAUCAUUAACUGAAUCCAUAGGUUAAUGAGGCGAACCGGGGGAACUGAAACAUCUAAGUACCCCGAGGAAAAGAAAUCAACCGAGAUUCCCCCAGUAGCGGCGAGCGAACGGGGAGGAGCCCAGAGCCUGAAUCAGUGUGUGUGUUAGUGGAAGCGUCUGGAAAGGCGCGCGAUACAGGGUGACAGCCCCGUACACAAAAAUGCACAUAUUGUGAGCUCGAUGAGUAGGGCGGGACACGUGGUAUCCUGUCUGAAUAUGGGGGGACCAUCCUCCAAGGCUAAAUACUCCUGACUGACCGAUAGUGAACCAGUACCGUGAGGGAAAGGCGAAAAGAACCCCGGCGAGGGGAGUGAAAAAGAACCUGAAACCGUGUACGUACAAGCAGUGGGAGCCUCUUAAUGGGGUGACUGCGUACCUUUUGUAUAAUGGGUCAGCGACUUAUAUUCUGUAGCAAGGUUAACCGAAUAGGGGAGCCGAAGGGAAACCGAGUCUUAACUGGGCGUUAAGUUGCAGGGUAUAGACCCGAAACCCGGUGAUCUAGCCAUGGGCAGGUUGAAGGUUGGGUAACACUAACUAGAGGACCGAACCGACUAAUGUUGAAAAAUUAGCGGAUGACUUGUGGCUGGGGGGUGAAAGGCCAAUCAAACCGGGAGAUAGCUGGUUCUCCCCGAAAGCUAUUUAGGUAGCGCCUCGUGAAUUCAUCUCCGGGGGUAGAGCACUGUUUCGGCAAGGGGGUCAUCCCGACUUACCAACCCGAUGCAAACUGCGAAUACCGGAGAAUGUUAUCACGGGAGACACACGGCGGGUGCUAACGUCCGUCGUGAAGAGGGAAACAACCCAGACCGCCAGCUAAGGUCCCAAAGUCAUGGUUAAGUGGGAAACGAUGUGGGAAGGCCCAGACAGCCAGGAUGUUGGCUUAGAAGCAGCCAUCAUUUAAAGAAAGCGUAAUAGCUCACUGGUCGAGUCGGCCUGCGCGGAAGAUGUAACGGGGCUAAACCAUGCACCGAAGCUGCGGCAGCGACACUAUGUGUUGUUGGGUAGGGGAGCGUUCUGUAAGCCUGUGAAGGUGGCCUGUGAGGGUUGCUGGAGGUAUCAGAAGUGCGAAUGCUGACAUAAGUAACGAUAAAGCGGGUGAAAAGCCCGCUCGCCGGAAGACCAAGGGUUCCUGUCCAACGUUAAUCGGGGCAGGGUGAGUCGACCCCUAAGGCGAGGCCGAAAGGCGUAGUCGAUGGGAAACAGGUUAAUAUUCCUGUACUUGGUGUUACUGCGAAGGGGGGACGGAGAAGGCUAUGUUGGCCGGGCGACGGUUGUCCCGGUUUAAGCGUGUAGGCUGGUUUUCCAGGCAAAUCCGGAAAAUCAAGGCUGAGGCGUGAUGACGAGGCACUACGGUGCUGAAGCGACAAAUGCCCUGCUUCCAGGAAAAGCCUCUAAGCAUCAGGUAACAUCAAAUCGUACCCCAAACCGACACAGGUGGUCAGGUAGAGAAUACCAAGGCGCUUGAGAGAACUCGGGUGAAGGAACUAGGCAAAAUGGUGCCGUAACUUCGGGAGAAGGCACGCUGAUAUGUAGGUGAAGCGACUUGCUCGUGGAGCUGAAAUCAGUCGAAGAUACCAGCUGGCUGCAACUGUUUAUUAAAAACACAGCACUGUGCAAACACGAAAGUGGACGUAUACGGUGUGACGCCUGCCCGGUGCCGGAAGGUUAAUUGAUGGGGUUAGCGGUAACGCGAAGCUCUUGAUCGAAGCCCCGGUAAACGGCGGCCGUAACUAUAACGGUCCUAAGGUAGCGAAAUUCCUUGUCGGGUAAGUUCCGACCUGCACGAAUGGCGUAAUGAUGGCCAGGCUGUCUCCACCCGAGACUCAGUGAAAUUGAACUCGCUGUGAAGAUGCAGUGUACCCGCGGCAAGACGGAAAGACCCCGUGAACCUUUACUAUAGCUUGACACUGAACAUUGAGCCUUGAUGUGUAGGAUAGGUGGGAGGCUUUGAAGUGUGGACGCCAGUCUGCAUGGAGCCGACCUUGAAAUACCACCCUUUAAUGUUUGAUGUUCUAACGUUGGCCCGUAAUCCGGGUUGCGGACAGUGUCUGGUGGGUAGUUUGACUGGGGCGGUCUCCUCCUAAAGAGUAACGGAGGAGCACGAAGGUUGGCUAAUCCUGGUCGGACAUCAGGAGGUUAGUGCAAUGGCAUAAGCCAGCUUGACUGCGAGCGUGACGGCGCGAGCAGGUGCGAAAGCAGGUCAUAGUGAUCCGGUGGUUCUGAAUGGAAGGGCCAUCGCUCAACGGAUAAAAGGUACUCCGGGGAUAACAGGCUGAUACCGCCCAAGAGUUCAUAUCGACGGCGGUGUUUGGCACCUCGAUGUCGGCUCAUCACAUCCUGGGGCUGAAGUAGGUCCCAAGGGUAUGGCUGUUCGCCAUUUAAAGUGGUACGCGAGCUGGGUUUAGAACGUCGUGAGACAGUUCGGUCCCUAUCUGCCGUGGGCGCUGGAGAACUGAGGGGGGCUGCUCCUAGUACGAGAGGACCGGAGUGGACGCAUCACUGGUGUUCGGGUUGUCAUGCCAAUGGCACUGCCCGGUAGCUAAAUGCGGAAGAGAUAAGUGCUGAAAGCAUCUAAGCACGAAACUUGCCCCGAGAUGAGUUCUCCCUGACCCUUUAAGGGUCCUGAAGGAACGUUGAAGACGACGACGUUGAUAGGCCGGGUGUGUAAGCGCAGCGAUGCGUUGAGCUAACCGGUACUAAUGAACCGUGAGGCUUAACCUU
rnacentral:rRNA from 1 species